GACGAACGCUGGCGGCGUGCUUAACACAUGCAAGUCGAACGGAAAGGCCCUGCUUUUGUGGGGUGCUCGAGUGGCGAACGGGUGAGUAACACGUGAGUAACCUGCCCUUGACUUUGGGAUAACUUCAGGAAACUGGGGCUAAUACCGGAUAGGAGCUCCUGCGGCAGGGGGGGGGUGGGAAAGUUUCGGCGGUUGGGGAUGGACUCGCGGCUUAUCAGCUUGUUGGUGGGGUAGUGGCUUACCAAGGCUUUGACGGGUAGCCGGCCUGAGAGGGUGACCGGCCACAUUGGGACUGAGAUACGGCCCAGACUCCUACGGGAGGCAGCAGUGGGGAAUAUUGCACAAUGGGCGGAAGCCUGAUGCAGCAACGCCGCGUGCGGGAUGACGGCCUUCGGGUUGUAAACCGCUUUCGCCUGUGACGAAGCGUGAGUGACGGUAAUGGGUAAAGAAGCACCGGCUAACUACGUG
rnacentral:rRNA from 1 species